CAGUCGCCACGGGAAUACGAAGGGGGCUAGCGUUGUUCGGAUUUACUGGGCGUAAAGCGCACGUAGGCGGACUUUUAAGUCAGGGGUGAAAUCCCGGGGCUCAACCCCGGAACUGCCUUUGAUACUGGAAGUCUUGAGUAUGGUAGAGGUGAGUGGAAUUCCGAGUGUAGAGGUGAAAUUCGUAGAUAUUCGGAGGAACACCAGUGGCGAAGGCGGCUCACUGGACCAUUACUGACGCUGAGGUGCGAAAGCGUGGGGAGCAAACAGGAUUAGAUACCCCAGUAGUCCCUGUCUCUUAUAC
rnacentral:rRNA from 1 species